UAAUAAUAUUUCAACGCGUGUACCGACAUGCCCCUCGUCGAAUAAACCGGUUAAUUUAGGUUAAAAUAAAGUUCUUUAAUGUUCACGUUCUUAAGAAAAGUUCGGAGGAAAACCGAUAUAAACCGGUAUUAACCGGUAUUUUUUAAACCGGUUCCGAGCCUUGCCCGAGACCCCUUGCCCGGCAGUCGCACUUGCAACCACACGGCCAACGAGGCAGUCUAGUAUAAAGCUAAUUUUAAAGUUGACAUAAUAUGAACAAUAUUCGUUGUGUGACUGGUCAACUAUCACAGAUAGAUUACAGAUUCGUGUCGUUAAUGGCUAUGAAUCCUACCGUACUGUGCUGACUCAGGAAUUCCCCAGAGUUCUCAUCUUGCUUCAGUCCUGUUAUACUCUUCAUUAAUAAUAUUACUGACUAAAUCCAUCACUGUAAACAAAUUCUAUAAAUAAACAAACAAUACUAUAAUACUACAAAUAAACAAACUAUUUGCGGACGAUCUCUCGUCUCAAAAUCUAUCAUAUCCGCAUCAUUGUUACAAAAUCAGCGCAGCUUCUAGGUUUUCUUAAGAGGUUUAGGCUCACCAGGGGGUACAGGCUGGUAAGAACAAAAAUUGUUUUAUAUAACGCCUUAGUUUGCCAGUGUAGUAUGGAUCCCGCACUACGCAGUACAUUCGCAAAGAAUAGAAAGCUUCCAGAGAGCCUUCACAAAACAUUUAGCAUGUAUCUUCGGUGAUAUAUCUCCCCGGGCCCGUAGGAACAACGUAUUCAGUUAUGAUAUGAAUUUUGGACCUUUACAAAUUUGUCAAUAAUAAAUUGGACUGUGACAAACUAAUUGAACAAAUAGGACUAAUGUUGCCCCAUAAGUUGCCCAGAUAUCCCAUUCCACACUAAAGUAUCAAAUACCAAUUUAGGUAUGAGUCUUUAAAGCCCGAAUACUUGAAUACCAGAGCUCGCAGCUCAAAUCGAUCAUAUUAAUCCAUUCACUAUAACUUUAAUCCGAGGUGAAAGCCCCCAGGCGCUCCACUAUUUAAUGUAUCCCUUAAACGAAGAUUGUCAACGAGUCUUACAGUUUAUAUCUAAAAAUACAUAUAUAUUUCUUUUAGUCUUAAGUUAUCAUUUAUCAAAAUUGUUGGUUAACCUGUAAUUGGCGACUGUACAAGCCCAAAACUAAUUUAUAUGUAUUUUCUGUACUUUAAUAUAUUUAAUAAAUUAAUAUUAUACACAUUUAA